rnacentral:rRNA from 1 species
GGCGUGCCUAAUACAUGCAAGUCGAGCGGACAGAUGGGAGCUUGCUCCCUKAUGUYAGCGGCGGACGGGUGAGUWACACGUGGGUAACCUGCCUGUAAGACUGGGAUAACUCCGGGAAACCGGGGCUAAUACCGGAUGCUUGAUUGAACCGCAUGGUUCAAUUAUAAAAGGUGGCUUUUAGCUACCACUUACAGAUGGACCCGCGGCGCAUUAGCUAGUUGGUGAGGUAACGGCUCACCAAGGCAACGAUGCGUAGCCGACCUGAGAGGGUGAUCGGCCACACUGGGACUGAGACACGGCCCAGACUCCUACGGGAGGCAGCAGUAGGGAAUCUUCCGCAAUGGACGAAAGUCUGACGGAGCAACGCCGCGUGAGUGAUGAA